rnacentral:rRNA from 1 species
UACGAAGGGAGCUAGCGUUGUUCGGAAUCACUGGGCGUAAAGCGCACGUAGGCGGAUAUGUCAGUCAGGGGUGAAAUCCCGGGGCUCAACCUCGGAACUGCCCUUGAUACAGCAUAUCUUGAGUCCGAUAGAGGUGGGUGGAAUUCCUAGUGUAGAGGUGAAAUUCGUAGAUAUUAGGAAGAACACCGGUGGCGAAGGCGGCCCACUGGAUCGGUACUGACGCUGAGGUGCGAAAGCGUGGGGAGCAAACAGG